rnacentral:lncRNA from 1 species
UUGCCUCUUGCCCCUGGUCAACCAGUUCUAAACAUUGAUCUCCGAGUACCUGCUUCUCUUUUUGGCAUUGAACCAUCAGUAUUCACUAUUCAGUACCUGGGAACAAGAGAAUAUGGUAGCUGAACGAGCUAAGCUGCACUUAGCUUUAACGUUUUUGCAAUUUUGUUAUGCAGGAAACCACAUAUUUGUGAGGAUUGCACUUGAUUCAGGCGUCAGCAAGCUUGUAUUUCCUGUCUAUAGAAACAUCACUGCUCUUCUUCUUCUGGGUCCCUUAGCUUAUUUUUCAGAGAAGUAUGCACUUCAGUUCUAUACCAUAUAUAAAUGAAUUCUGUCAUGUUCCCAGUUUCAGCUAUCUUACCUUUUUCUUUUUCUUUUUUGGAUCUUAUUGUUUGCCUCUUUGCAAGGAAAGACAGGCCAUCAAUAACCAGAUAUUGUCUUGUCCAAUUUUUCCUUCUAGGACUUGUUGGGUAUGUAUGAUCUUUCCAUGAAGCUACUCCACUGUAUCAAUUAAUUGGCAAUGUUUGUGUAACUUAAAAAGUAUUAAUUUUGAUUCUUGCAGAAUAACAUUGAAAGAAGGGUUCCAUCUUUGAAGGAAACAUCAUUUUUCUGAAUGAAUCAAAAUCCAGUAACAUAACAUGGUUGGUUAACCAAUCAAAUAUUCAAAAUAAACUUUGAAGGCUUUGCCUCGAGGAGAUUAGUAUAAUGACCAUCGGCUUUGGGAUAACUAGGGGAAAAAAACUGUAUAAUUAUAAUUAGUUGGUUACAGGCGUGUUGGUCCAAAUUGGUGUUCUAUGGGAAAACAUGGAUUGAUUUUUAUUAAUAUUUUGACAGUAAACAUGGAGUGAUUGAGCUAUUGCAACAUGUCAGGCUUUGACUUCAAAUGCCCUUCCUUCACUUUGGGGUGAAAUGGAGUGGAUGAAAGAUUGGAUUGAGGAGUGUAGCUAAUAUUCAAUGGCGCAUCACAAUCACAUGCACGCAAGCAAUCCAAUUACUAACAGUAGAUUAUUAGAGUGUCCAUUAACACUUUUUACCAUGAAGCGACAGAAAUUAUUUAUAGAUUACUAAUAAACACGUUGCACUUUGUUUUCUUUUGUCACCACUUACAAGAAGGUAGAACUAAACAAGAUUGCAAUUAUUAUAGAUCUCUUAUCUUCCACUUCCAGACAGUUUUUGCCUCUUGCCCCUGGUCAACCAGUUCUAAACAUUGAUCUCCGAGUACCUGCUUCUCUUUUUGGCAUUGAACCAUCAGUAUUCACUAUUCAGUACCUGGGAACAAGAGAAUAUGGUAGCUGAACGAGCUAAGCUGCACUUAGCUUUAACGUUUUUGCAAUUUUGUUAUGCAGGAAACCACAUAUUUGUGAGGAUUGCACUUGAUUCAGGCGUCAGCAAGCUUGUAUUUCCUGUCUAUAGAAACAUCACUGCUCUUCUUCUUCUGGGUCCCUUAGCUUAUUUUUCAGAGAAGUAUGCACUUCAGUUCUAUACCAUAUAUAAAUGAAUUCUGUCAUGUUCCCAGUUUCAGCUAUCUUACCUUUUUCUUUUUCUUUUUUGGAUCUUAUUGUUUGCCUCUUUGCAAGGAAAGACAGGCCAUCAAUAACCAGAUAUUGUCUUGUCCAAUUUUUCCUUCUAGGACUUGUUGGGUAUGUAUGAUCUUUCCAUGAAGCUACUCCACUGUAUCAAUUAAUUGGCAAUGUUUGUGUAACUUAAAAAGUAUUAAUUUUGAUUCUUGCAGAAUAACAUUGAAAGAAGGGUUCUAC